rnacentral:rRNA from 1 species
GACAGAGGUGCCAAGCGUUAGGCGGGAUCACUGGGCUUAAAGCGUGUGUAGGCGGAUUUGUAAGUACCUUGUGAAAUCCCACGGCUCAACCGUGGAACUGCUUGGUAUACUGCUUAUCUUGAGCCACUUAGGGGCUACCGGAACAAAUGGUGGAGCGGUGAAAUGCGUAGAUAUCAUUUGGAACGCCAAUGGUGAAAACAGGUAGCUGGGAGUGUGCUGACGCUGAGACACGAAAGCCAGGGGAGCGAACAGGAUUAGAACU